CCUACUGCGGCUGCAGUGGGGAAUCUUAGACAAUGGGGGAAACCCUGAUCUAGCCAUGCCGCGUGAGCGAUGAAGGCCUUAGGGUUGUAAAGCUCUUUCAGCUGGGAAGAUAAUGACGGUACCAGCAGAAGAAGCCCCGGCUAACUCCGUGCCAGCAGCCGCGGUAAUACGGAGGGGGCUAGCGUUGUUCGGAAUUACUGGGCGUAAAGCGCACGUAGGCGGACUGGAAAGUUGGGGGUGAAAUCCCGGGGCUCAACCCCGGAACUGCCUUCAAAACUCCCAGUCUGGAGUUCGAGAGAGGUGAGUGGAAUUCCGAGUGUAGAGGUGAAAUUCGUAGAUAUUCGGAGGAACACCAGUGGCGAAGGCGGCUCACUGGCUCGAUACUGACGCUGAGGUGCGAAAGCGUGGGGAGCAAACAGGAUUAGAUACCCCUGUAGUCCUC
rnacentral:rRNA from 1 species